rnacentral:rRNA from 1 species
UAGGGAAUCUUCGGCAAUGGGGGGAACCCUGACCGAGCAACGCCGCGUGAGUGAAGAAGGUUUUCGGAUCGUAAAGCUCUGUUGUUAAGGAAGAACGAGUGUGAGAAUGGAAAGUUCAUGCUGUGACGGUACUUAACCAGAAAGGGACGGCUACUACGUGCCAGCAGCCGCGGUAAUACGUAGGUCCCGAGCGUUGUCCGGAUUUAUUGGGCGUAAAGCGAGCGCAGGCGGUUAGAAAAGUCUGAAGUGAAAGGCAGUGGCUCAACCAUUGUAGGCUUUGGAAACUGUUUAACUUGAGUGCAGAAGGGGAGAGUGGAAUUCCAUGUGUAGCGGUGAAAUGCGUAGAUAUAUGGAGGAACACCGGUGGCGAAAGCGGCUCUCUGGUCUGUAACUGACGCUGAGGCUCGAAAGCGUGGGGAGCGAACAGG